AUGACAAACACAAAGGGAAACAGGAGAGGCACCCGACAGAUGUUCUCUAGGUCUUUCAGAAAACACAGAGUUAUUCCUUUAGCCAUGUAUAUGCAAAUCUGUAAGAAAGGUAAUAUUGUAGACAUCAAGGGAAUGAGCACUGUUCAAAACAAAAUGUCCCACAAGUGUUAACAUGGCAAAACUGGAAGAGUCUACAAUGUGACCCAGCAUGCUGUUGGCAUGGUUGUAAAAAAACAAGUUAAGGGCAAGAUUCUUGCCAAGUGAAUUAAUGUUCAUAUUGAGCAUAUUAAGCACUCUAAGAGCCAAGAUAGCUUCCUGAAACACAUGAAGGAAAAUGAUCAGAAAAAGAAGGAAGCCAAAGCGAAAGGUACCAGGGUUCAACUGAAAUGCCAGCCUGCUCCACCCAGGGAAGCACACUUUGUAAGAACCAAUGAGAAGGAGCCUGGGCUGCUGGAAACUCUUCCUUAUGAUUCAUGUAU
rnacentral:lncRNA from 1 species